rnacentral:rRNA from 1 species
GACGAACGCUGGCGGCGUGCUUAACACAUGCAAGUCGAACGAUGAAGCCGGAGCUUGCUCUGGUGAAUUAGUGGCGAACGGGUGAGUAACACGUGAGUAACCUGCCCUUGACUCUGGGAUAACUGCGGGAAACUGUAGCUAAUACCGGAUACGACCCUCGGAGGCAUCUCCUGGGGGUGGAAAGAAUUUCGGUCAAGGAUGGACUCGCGGCCUAUCAGCUAGUUGGUGAGGUAAAGGCUCACCAAGGCGACGACGGGUAGCCGGCCUGAGAGGGUGACCGGCCACACUGGGACUGAGACACGGCCCAGACUCCUACGGGAGGCAGCAGUGGGGAAUAUUGCACAAUGGGCGCAAGCCUGAUGCAGCAACGCCGCGUGAGGGAUGACGGCCUUCGGGUUGUAAACCUCUUUUGUCAGGGAAGAAACACCGGCUCUAACACAGUCCGGGAAUGACGGUACCUGAAGAAUAAGCACCGGCUAAC